AUGGCAGGGAUGAACCUGCAUAGAAUCGCCUCUGCCCUUGUUCGAUUCAUUGGACGGGAGAUCCGUCAAUCUGCCAGACGCCACAGUGCUGGUGUUCCUCGCCAUUGGGGCCCAGGCAACGGCCGCCGUGGUCGCCGUGGUCGUCGGGAUCACCCUGGCCCCACCGCCGCAGAGCAGGCAGGACCAAGCAACCCAUCUGCCGCCGUCCACCAUGCCUACCAGGCACCCCCAAUGCCGGCCUUCGUCGCUCCGCCAAUGGACUGGGCUCCCGCCGAGGCUGCAGCCCCGUUCCUGGGCGAGGAGGAGUUCUUCGACGCCGCCCAGGCCCCGCCACCGCCGGGGAUCUUCUUCGGCAAUGGCAUGGACGCAGGCGUGGCCUUCUGUCCGGUGCACGGAUACGGCCCUUGCCCUGCCCGCGAUUUCUGCCCCGUGCACGGGUACGGGCCGUGCCCUCCACCGCCGGCCACUCCACCACCGGAACCGGAGGUCAUCGAUGAGCCGCUCGCCUACCCGGACCUCCCAACGCUGACGCCCGCCGACGAAGACGAGGAGCACUUCGCCCCUCCAGGCUAUGGCCUUGUGCCCGCCAUGAUGUAG
rnacentral:rRNA from 1 species